UCUUCAGAAACCCUAAGAUGGGUGAUCGAUUCCAGAAUCACUUUCAUCUUUCUCUACGCCCGUUCCUCUUUUCUAAGUGUAGUCUAUCAAUCAACACACUACUCCACUUCUUCUGCAAUCAAUCAUCCGAAAUCAAACAAUAAUGAAUUUGUUUAGCCUUUCUUCCUCUAUAUUUCUUUAUAAUUCUCUUUUUUUUUCUCAGAUUUCGGAUCAAAAGUUUCUAUCGUGAUGAAUUCCGAAGGCAAAUCCACUGACUCCAGCGAUCUUAACUCGAAGAAAUCAAACGGAAAGGAUGGGAUCUCCUCUGAUCAAACGUACCGGCCAAUCCGGUGUCUCCUCAGCCGUGCCGAAAAGCUUUUGUUGUUAUUUCAGAUCCGAUUGUUGUAAGGCAUGUCCUCUGAGAAAACACUAGGAGUCCUUGCUGAGUUCUUAGAGCCGAUAUUGGAAAAAGGUUCGAAAAAGUUAAGAAGAAGAGUUGUUGCAAUUUGUUUAUCUUGGUAAAAUCCGGACGAUCCAACUUGAGUAAACUGAUGCAAAAGAAAACCUCCUCCAGGCGGCUAGAAAAGCAUAUGUCGCUGCUCUAGGCUUCACAGUCCAAUGCGACAAGUGGGCUAUUCGACUCCUCUUGGGUGAAAUUCCAUAGCGAUCCAUCUUCACUCACAAAGAAAUGGAGAAGGCUCUUAGGCCAUAUUUCGAACUUACCAAUUUUUCAGUCACGGCCAGUUGUAUGUUGCUCUCUCACUUGAUGAUACGGAAGGCACAACAAGAAAGUAAGGUGUUACUAACAUUGUUUACACAUAGAUAGUAAUCUCAGGACAAGUAAGACACUUACAGCCCUCCCUCCUCUUAUUAUGAUAGUUCAAACGAAACAACAAUAUAUAUUAUCCUGAACUUUCUCUGCUUUCGUUUCAGGAAACAGCUGGGGAGACCAGUCUAUUUCUUACCAUUCUCUAACACAACUAACUACUGACUGUCAUCAAAAAGUCCACCAAAUGUACACAGCCAAUUUGAGAACUGAUUCAGAGACAAAUGUCUCACCACUGCGUUUUUGGAGGCUCUCUUUCUGCACAUCUUAACCUUGGCGACGGGUGUCAUUCCUCAGCUACUGCAAGUUUAUCACAUCUUAAUCUGUCCUUCUAUUUUAUCUCUUGAUGUUACUUUGUUUUAUGAAUGCUUUCCAUAUUUAGAGUCAAAGCUAUAUGCACAUCUUGACCAAUGGUGGUCGUGACUAACAGUUUUUUAGAUUGCAGCUCAGUUUUAAGGUA